rnacentral:lncRNA from 1 species
AUGCCGCUGUUACUAGUCUGCAGCCCCACAACCCCGCCGAAUGAAGAGCACGGCCAUGCUGCCGCACAACCCCAAGCACCCACCCUCGGUCCCUCGGCCCAGGCCGGUGCUCACCGUCGGCUCCCGGCCCCCCCGGGCCGGCAUAUGCCGUGCUGUCAUUGCCGUGCAGUCAGUGCCGUGCAGUCAGUGCCUCGCACAGCCCUACUGACGGCAUCGCGAUACGCGAUCGCAGCGCCGUGUCACAGCCGUGUUUGCGGAGCACGCCCGCUCAGUCUCCUAAUGCGAAGUGACCGCAGCUUAUGCUUAAGCCCAACCAACUGCGCGGCGGCUGGUUCCCUCUCACCGCUCAGGCAUGUCUCCGAGGAGCUCGCCGCAGGUCGGCAGGACGGCCCGAUGCCGCUAUUUUCACCUCGCUGCGCGUUCGUGCCGCUGACGGCUGGCGGACACCAGCAGCCGGCAGCUGCCGAGGCACCACGAGCCCGCACCAGCCGCGCUCCGUCGAGCACCUCCUGGAGCGGGGAUCUCCGCCCGGCCGCCCUCGGCCCGGCCCCGCGGCGCAGACCCGCCGCCCCGUACCUCCGGGCCGCGAGUUUCCCCCAAAGGCCGCGGUCUCGGCGCCGGCCGCCGCCAUGCCGGGCCGGCCCCGCGCCGUGUCCCCGCGCUGCCCGCUCGGCAGGAAGAGCCGCUCACGGGCACGGCCCCCUGAGCUCUGCCGGCGGGCUCCCCGGCACCCCGCGGCCCGCACUCACCGAGCGGCGAGCGCAGGCACGGCAGCGGCAGGAAGCGGCGGAGGAAGCUGGGCCGCAGCCAGGGCCCCGCCGCUCCGCUCCGCCCGGCACGGCCCGCCCACGGGCCCGGCAGCCUCCUGCGCCACAGGGGCCGGGCCCGGCGCUGGGUGAGCGGGAGAGGAGCUGGCCUGGGACUGUGCCUGCCGUGACACACUCUGACUUCAAACUGAGCCCUGCUGCUGGGUUGUUCUACCUUCUGAUGCACCACCACCUGUACAUACAGUCCCAACUGCAACACACCGAGAGAAACGUGGCUCACUGUUUCACAACCGAUGAAGUACACACUUAUAACAUGACUCAAAAGAGGAAGCAUUCCAUCCCUCCGUGUCCUGUUAAAAACGGAAAGCACAUAAAGCUUUAA